rnacentral:rRNA from 1 species
GUGAACGCUGGCGGUAGGCCUAACACAUGCAAGUCGAACGGCAGCACAGUAAGAGCUUGCUCUUACGGGUGGCGAGUGGCGGACGGGCGAGGAAUACAUCGGAAUCUACUUUUUCGUGGGGGAUAACGUAGGGAAACUUACGCUAAUACCGCAUACGACCUACGGGUGAAAGCAGGGGAUCUUCGGACCUUGCGCGAUUGAAUGAGCCGAUGUCGGAUUAGCUAGUUGGCGGGGUAAAGGCCCACCAAGGCGACGAUCCGUAGCUGGUCUGAGAGGAUGAUCAGCCACACUGGAACUGAGACACGGUCCAGACUCCUACGGGAGGCAGCAGUGGGGAAUAUUGGACAAUGGGCGCAAGCCUGAUCCAGCCAUACCGCGUGGGUGAAGAAGGCCCUCGGGUUGUAAAGCCCUUUUGUUGGGAAAGAAAAGCAGCAGGUUAAUACCCCGCUGUUCUGACGGUACCCAAAGAAUAAGCACCGGCUAACUUCGUG